rnacentral:rRNA from 1 species
UACGGAGGGGGCUAGCGUUGUUCGGAAUUACUGGGCGUAAAGCGCGCGUAGGCGGACCUGCAAGUCGGGGGGUGAAAGCCCGAGGCUCAACUCCAGAACUGCCUUUGAUACUGGCGAUCUCGAGUUCGGGAGAGGUGAGUGGAACUGCGAGUGUAGAGGUGAAAUUCGUAGAUAUUCGGAAGAACACCAGUGGCGAAGGCGGCUCACUGGCCCGGUACUGACGCUGAGGUGCGAAAGCGUGGGGAGCAAACAGG